rfam:Stegodyphus mimosarum contig6409, whole genome shotgun sequence.
GAAUUUUUGAUUAACAAACUGGAAG